rnacentral:tRNA from 1 species
AGCAGAGUCAGCUAAACAAGCUUUUGGGCCCAUACCCCAAACAUGCAGGUUAAACCCCUGCCUCUGCAA